rnacentral:misc_RNA from 1 species
UUUCCGUCGGUGAACCUGCGGAAGGAUCAUUCAUAAUAAGUGUUUUAUGGCACUUUUUUAAAUCCAUAUCCACCUUGUGUGCAAUGUCAGGGUUGAUUUUUCUCUCGAGAGGAUCAACCCCAAACAUCAACUAUAUCUCAACUCUUUGUCUGAAAAAUAUUAUGAAUAAAACAAUUCAAAAUACAACUUUCAACAACGGAUCUCUUGGCUCUC